UCGGGAAUUUUGGGCAAUGGGCGAAAGCCUGACCCAGCAACGCCGCGUGAAGGAUGAAGUAUUUCGGUAUGUAAACUUCGAAAGAAUAGGAAGAAUAAAUGACGGUACUAUUUAUAAGGUCCGGCUAACUCCGUGCCAGCAGCCGCGGUAAUACGGGGGGUGCAAGCGUUAAUCGGAAUUAUUGGGCGUAAAGGGUGCGUAGGUUGUUUGAUAAGAUAUAUGUGAAAUACCUGGGCUCAACCUGGGAAGGUCAUAUAAGACUGUCAGACUCGAGUAUGGGAGAGGGUAGAGGAAUUUCCGGUGUAGCGGUGAAAUGCGUAGAUAUCGGAAGGAACAUCGGUGGCGAAGGCGUCUACCUGGCCUAAUACUGACACUGAGGCACGAAAGCGUGGGGAGCAAACAGGAUUAGAUACCCCCGUAGUCCCUGAGCGGGCUGGCAAGGCGCAU
rnacentral:rRNA from 1 species